rnacentral:rRNA from 1 species
GACGAACCGUCCAAACGUUAUUCGGAAUCACUGGGCUUAAAGGGCGCGUAGGCGGCCGAGCGGGUCGCGGGUGAAAUCCUCCAGCUUAACUGGAGAACUGCCCUCGAUACCACUGCGGCUCGAGGAAGGAAGGGGCAAUCGGAACUGUCGGUGGAGCGGUGAAAUGCGUUGAUAUCGACAGGAACGCCGGUGGCGAAAGCGGAUUGCUGGUCCUUUUCUGACGCUGAGGCGCGAAAGCCAGGGGAGCAAACGGG